GUAUUAUUGCUAAGAAAAUAAAAAUCGCCUUAUAUCUCUAUAGAAGAAUAAUGGGUUUGAAAAUGUCAAGCAAUGUUCUUCUUCUAUCUUUGUUUCUUCUACUUCUUUGUCUCUUUUCUGAAAUUGGAGGGAGUGAGACCACUCACCGGAAAAUAGGUCUGUGCCUCUCAUAGUAUAUGUUUUUAUUCUCUUGUUUUAUAUUUCACUGAAUUUGCUUGUUCCCGUAAAGAAGAUGAUCAAUAUAUAUAUAUAUAUAUAUAUAUAUAUAUAUAUAUAUAUAUAUAUAUAUAUCUAUAUAUACAUUUUUGGAUGACUUUUAGCAAAUAAAUCCUGGAGUUCCACCUUAUUUACGGAUGAAUGCCAUUGACAUUAAUUAUUUAAAUUUGAAAAAUAUUAAUUAAAGAUAUUACCAACACGAUUUCGAGAAUCAUAAAUUCAUAUCUUCCUUAAUUUUCUGAGUCAUUAAUGUGAUAAUCUUUAGGAAAUAUUUCUCUGUAAAAAAAAAUCCACAUUAAUGAAGGCAUUAAAAUCGACACUAACAAUUAAAUUAUUUAGAUAUUCAAUUAUUUUAAGAUUCUUAUAUCUUAUUUGAUAUUUUUUUAAUAUCUCAUUCUUUAAUUACUGCGUUUAGAAUUUAUUGGUUGUUACCUAUUUUUUGGUGAAAUUUAUUGGUUGUUACUUAAUAAGUAAUUAUGGUGCGUUUAUUUUAGUUAAUAUCUAAUUUAAAGGAUUUGUUUUCUUUUAUUAUUAAUAAACGAAUAACAUGUAUAGAAAUAAAAGAUUUUUCUUGCGACUCCAUAAUAAAAAUAUUAAACUCUUAUUUUCUACAUUUCUUACACAUAAUAUCCUCUUAUUCAAUAACAAAAAAUAUAUAUUGCAUAUUUUUAAAAAUAUUUAUAAUAUUUAAAUUAUAUAAAAAGUUUGUAAUAUUAAUAUUAUUUCAACUCUAUACAAAUUUAAUAUAUAUGUAUAUAUAUCUUAUGGGAACCAUUUAAAAGAAAUUUUUAAAUUGACUUGAAUUAUAUAACUAAAUGAUGUUUAAUUUCACGGGACGGGUAAUAUGAUGGGACGGGUUUGGAUUGAUAUUUAUAAAAGAUAGUAUACCACAGAUGAAAUCCUAAAAUUAACAAUCAAAAUAAUCUAUCAAACAAAUUACAUUUUGAUUUUUUUAAGAAAAUAUAGCCCCGCGGUGUACCGCGGGUUAAAAUCUAGUAUAUAUAUAUAUAAAGACUAUGAAACUAUGAAACUAUAAAGACUAUAUAUAUAUAUAUAUAUAAAGACUCCUUCAAGUCAUACGUGGUCCUUUUAUACUAGCAAAGGAUCAAUUAUUAUAGAUAAUAGACUAUGAAACUAAGAAAGUUAUCUAAACUGAUUUUAGAACAUAUUAUAUUAAAAUUAUUCUAUAAUUACGCGUCAGUUUAAAACUACCAAAUUUUUCUACUUUUAUCAUAUAUUUUUCUACUUUUAUCAUAUAUUUUCUCUUUAAUAUUGAUACAAUUUUUUUUGUACAAUAAAUCAAGAAAAAUGUCAUUUAAAAAAAUUCACAAAUCUAUUUAAAAAUAUUCAAUGUAGAAUAUAAAUAUAAAUCUUAAUUUUGCCACUUUUCCGGUAAAUGAUAUUGUGGUUGCAUUAAUUUUCAUCAAAUUAUGAAAAAAUUCUUUGAUUGUUCUAUGAUGCUACAAAAUGAUCUAUGAAAUUUUAUUUUUAGUAAUUUAUCAUUAAUAUGAAUAGUUUCGUUUUUAAAUAUAUUACUACAAUUACAAAAAUUAGAAAAAUCAUGCACUGUUUGUUAAUUUUUUAUAUAUUAAUCCAUUAUUAGAAGUAUUAUUUACUAUUCAUACCUAAGAAAAGAGAAAACUAUUGUAUUAUAUCUUUGAUUCAAUGAUAAAAUUGUUAAAAAUGUAUAUUCUUUUGUAAAUAACUUGAAAUAUGCAUGUCUGAAUUUGGAUAAUGACUGUGACACAAACUAUCACUACAAGUAAAAUGGUGUUUUGCUUGCUUAUUUUGCAUAUUUGCAUUAGUCAUCAAUUAUAACUCGUGCAAAUGAGUUUUACAUCACUUAUAUAAGUGACUCUUGAAGUAGUGAUGCAAAUUAUUUGCAUCGGUUUAAAUAAUUGUUUCUAUCGAAUAUUGUAAUCUAUGUUAAUAUGCAUCACUUCAAAAAAAAACAUGAUGUUAGUUUUACAUCAGUUUAUAAAAAUGACGUUAAUAUUUGCAACGGUUAUAAUAAGAGAUGUUCAGUGUUUAUAUUAACUAUACACAAUUGAUGGUAAAAUUAAUAAAAUAAUAUUAAAUUAUUUUUAAGAAACAAAAUUAUUUAUUUUUAUCAAAUAAUAUUUAAGAAAAUGAUAAAAUUUAUUUUAGAUAAUAGUUGCUUAUUAAGCUUUACACUUUUUUGACACCAUUAAAAAGUAAGAUCACUAUAUAUAAGAAAACUAUGAAACCUCUUUUUCACUGGGCAUAAAGUGGGACGUAGAGAAAUUAAACAAACAAUUACAUAAAUUUUUACAACCGAUGUUUAAUCUUUAAUUAGCAUAGGAUGUUAUUGAUUUAAAUUUUGUAUCACUUUCUAAAUGAUGUUAAUUCAUAUAUUUGUAUUAGUAUUGUGAAAGUAUGUAAAUGGAUAUAGAUUUGUAUCAAUUUUAAUAAACUGAUGCCACACACAUCAAUAUGACAUCGAUUAUUGCAGUUAAUGUUAAAUUAUAUUUUUCGUAUCGAUUGUAAAUAAGUAAUCAAAUUAGUAUUAUUUAAUUUUGGGCAAUUGACAAAACUAACACUAAAAUAUGUUUGCAAUGUUCCACAAAUAGCACCCUAAUCUUUAAUUAAACUUUAAAUGAAAAUAAUUAAUUUGAAUAAAAUAAUAAAUAAAAUGUGAAAUUUUCCCGCCAAAUUUUUUUUGCAACGUACAAAAUUGUCCCGCCAAAAAUUUUGACGAUAUUCAGGAAGGAUUCCUUGAACCCCAGGAAUGAUUUCCUGAAGGAUUCCACAAAAUUCAAGAAAUUCAGGAAGGAUUUUACGAAAUUCAUGAAUGAUUUCACAAAAUUCAGGAAUGAUUUCUUGAACUUCUGAAAGGAUUACUUCCGAAAUUUUAUAGGAUCCUUCCUUAAUUUCAUAGAAUCCUUUCGGAAGUUCAAGGAUUCCUUCCUGAAUUUUUGAAAUCCUUCUUGAAUGUUUUGGAUUUUGUUUUGUGGGAAAAUUUUGACGGAAGUUUUUUUUUUGUGGAAAAAUAUUGACGGGAAACUUUUGCACGUUUCGGAGAUUUUUUCACGGAAAAAAUAAAUUUUGGCGGAAAUAUAAUAAAUUGUAGAGAAAUAAUUAAUAAUACCUAAUAAUAAUAAUGCCAUUUGUGGAAGUUUAAGUUGAUGUUAAUAAUACAUUGGUCGUUUUGACACCUAAUAAAGGUGAUGUUACAAAAAAAUGCCAAUUUGUGGAAGGUGAUGAUGUUACACCUAAUAAAACAUGAUUAUGUGCUAUUAAUUAGAGACCAUUUCUCUUUAACUUUUUUGAUGCAAUUGACCUCCUUUUUAGUAGUCGUAUUACUAAUUUAUAAAGCAUGAUUACAGCAUAACAAAUCGUAGGAUUUAAUCUUCUCAAAAAUAAUUUUGUUAUUAUAUUUUUCUUACUCCUAUAUAGUAUAUUGUAUUAAGAUUGACCUUUUUUUUGGUUUAAUGUUUAAUGUUAAGAUUUAAGAUUGUCAGAUUGAUCUUAUUCAUCAUUCCUGACAUAAAGUUUGCAUUGAUCCUUAGUGGGAGAACCUAUUAGAGAGUUAGCUGGUGCAUCUUGUUCAUGCGGAAGCCAAGGACUUGGCCCUGGAAAAACAGACCGUCAUCAACGUCCAUGUAAACGUCCACGUCCAUGUCCACCUUCACGUGCCCGCUAGACUCUUGAAGAGAAAGUAAAGAAGAAGAAGAAAAUAAGAUACUAGAAUUCUAUUUUUGUGCUUAAAAUUUUAAUUUACAGUUUCUUAGCUAUAAAAUUAUUUUUCUCAUAAAGAUUAUUACAGAAAAGAAAUUAAAUUCCAAUAAAAUGAAGCCGACAAUAUGGAUAAUUUAUAAUGGUUAUUUUUUUCGUUAGCUUUUGUUUUCUCACGAUAAACAUUAUUUAUACGUAUUUACUAUUUAAUAGUGUUUCCAUAAACGUUAGAAAACUAGUGUAACGUCCCGACCGCCAUCUCUUUUAAUGGGUCCCACGACUUCUCUCGGCCCGUGGGUCCACCAUCUUCCGACGGCCGGUCUGCUACGUCCGGGAGGCUUUAAAGACUUGUUUACCGACCCUACAAAUCACCACAUGAUCCUUCCCUUUGUUUUGUCCUCACUCACACAGUUCCGACAAUCACUUCCCGGAAGGUCAUCCAUCCUGAAAUUGCUCCAACUCAAGCACGCUUAACUGUGGAGUUCUCUCAGGACAGUUGACCGAAAAGAUAAGUGCACUUUGUUGAUAUAAGUGGUCAACUCAAUUCUUUUAAACCUCUCUGUAUGCACCACUAAAUUCCUGAAACCAGGGUGUUACAAUUCACCCCCACUAACAGAUCGAAACGUCCUCGUUGCGCACCAAGACCGUCACCCCUGACGGUGUGAGCCCUCUUGACUCUACACUCAACUGGGUUCGGCUCUGAUACCACUUGUAACGCCCUGACCACCACACCUUUCUUAAUGGGGCCUACGUCCUCUCUCGGCCCGUGGGCCCACCCGUGUUCGACGGCCGGUCCGCUACGUCCGGGAGGCUUUAAAGACUUGUUUACCGAUCCUACAAAUUACCACAUGAUCUUUCCUUGUGUUUUGUCCUCACUCACACAGUUCCGACAAUCACUUCCCGGAAGGUCACCCAUCCUGAAAGUACUCCAGCCCCAACACGCUUAACUGUGGAGUUCUGUCAGGACAGUUGGCCGAAAAGAUAAGUUCACUUUGGUGACAUAGAUGGUCAUAUCAAUUCUUUUAAACCUCUCCGCAUGCACCACCAUGUUCCUAAAACCAGUGUGUUACAACUAGUUCGUGGAACCCAUGAUCUUUUCUUACUUUUUGGUUCAGUGAUAGUUUAGUUGACACUAAAAUGUCAUCGUAGAGGUAACCGGGAAAGUAAAAAAUUCAUUAACUCCAAAAUUUUACUAAGUAACAAAAGAAAAAGAGAAAAAAAAAAAAAAUUUGAAGACGAGAUAUAAAAACUUUUGGCGCUCUCUUCUCUCUUCUUUCUCUCUCAAAAACCCUGACAGCCGAUCCCAAUUUGUUUGUCUCUUGUUUCUCUCUCGAUCCUUGACAGUCUCAAUCGUCAGUUUCAUUGAUCUACAAAGUUAAUCAAUCUCAAAGUUAAUUUUCCUCGCACUCUCUGUCUGUCUUAAUAUUCCCUCGUUCGAUUUUCUUCUCAGACCAAUCGCUUAGGUUUGUGUCGAUUGAUUACCCAAAUUGUUCGUUUUUUAUGUUGUAUUACCUAAAUUCGUCAUCAUCAUAUUGAAUUUUAAUGUUUAGGUAAUUUUCUGGAGUGGUUUUAUCGAGGGCUCUGUGAAAUUGUCUCAGAUUUCUCAAUGUGCUUGUGAUAUAAGAUUAUAUGAUUGAUUUUGAUUUAUGUUGAGUAAUAAUGUAUUUUUUUUGCAUCUCUAUGGGCUCUGUUUUGAAGUUGAAACAUGUCUCACCAUCGUUGAUUUUUCCUUGAUUCUCCCAGCAGUUCUCGAAGGAGACGACCGUGAUUGAAC
rnacentral:lncRNA from 1 species